CUGUGAGCUCGAUGAGUAGGGCGGGACACGUGGUAUCCUGUCUGAAUAUGGGGGGACCAUCCUCCAAGGCUAAAUACUCCUGACUGACCGAUAGUGAACCAGUACCGUGAGGGAAAGGCGAAAAGAACCCCGGCGAGGGGAGUGAAAAAGAACCUGAAACCGUGUACGUACAAGCAGUGGGAGCCUCUUUAUGGGGUGACUGCGUACCUUUUGUAUAAUGGGUCAGCGACUUAUAUUCUGUAGCAAGGUUAACCGAAUAGGGGAGCCGAAGGGAAACCGAGUCUUAACUGGGCGUUAAGUUGCAGGGUAUAGACCCGAAACCCGGUGAUCUAGCCAUGGGCAGGUUGAAGGUUGGGUAACACUAACUGGAGGACCGAACCGACUAAUGUUGAAAAAUUAGCGGAUGACUUGUGGCUGGGGGUGAAAGGCCAAUCAAACCGGGAGAUAGCUGGUUCUCCCCGAAAGCUAUUUAGGUAG
rnacentral:rRNA from 1 species